rnacentral:rRNA from 1 species
CCUAUCCUGGGUCUUCAGCAGGACCCAAGGGUGGGGUUGUUCGCCCAUUAAAAGGGAUCGUGAGAUGGGUUUAGACCGUCGUGAGACAGGUUUGUUGCUUUGUGGCUGAAGCGCGUAAGAUACCUGACGGGAAGGGGCUCUUAGUACGAGAGGAACGGAGUCUCGGUGCCACUAGUCUACCAGUUGUCUGCUAAGGCAAUGCUGGGUAGCCACGCACCAAUGGAUAAGAGCUGAAAGCAUCUAAGCUCGAAGUCAACCUGAAGACGAGGUAUCUCAGAGCUCCGAUAAAAGAUCGGUUUGAUAGACUGCGGGUGUAAGCACCAAGGUUCGCCGAGGUGUGUAGCCCAGCAGCACUAAUCGCUCGAG